GAUGAACGCUGGCGGCGUGCUUAACACAUGCAAGUCGAACGAUGAAGCCCAGCUUGCUGGGUGGAUUAGUUGCGAACGGGUGAGUAAGACGUGAGUAACCUGCCCUUAACUCUGGGAUAAGCCAGGGAAACUGGGUCUAAUACCGGAUAGGAACGAUCACCGCAUGGAGGGUGUUGGAAAGAUCUAUCGGUUUUAGGUGGAUUCGCGGCGUAUCAGCUUGUUAGUGAGGUAAUGGCACACCAAGGCGACGACGGGUAGCCGGCCUGGGAGGGUGACCGGCCACAAUGGGCCUAAGACACGCAGCAGUAUGCUACCGUAGGCAGUAGUCGAAAGCAUUACACAAUGGCCCCGAGUCAGUUGUAGAGGCGCCCCGUUCGGAAAACCCUCUUUCUGGUUAAAAACCUCUUUCUGUAUAACUGUACACAUAGUGACGGUACCUGAUCAGAAAGCCCCGGCUAACUACGUG
rnacentral:rRNA from 1 species